UCCGGUGUGGUUUAGUUGGCCAUAAUACCAUGACGACCGUCCACAAAAAGGCGGCGUCAUGGAGACCUGAGUUCGAUCCUCAGCGCCGGAC